GCAAUGGGGGCAACCCUGACCGAGCCAUGCCGCGUGUGUGAUGAAGGCCCUAGGGUUGUAAAGCACUUUCAACGGUGAAGAUAAUGACGGUAACCGUAGAAGAAGCCCCGGCUAACUUCGUGCCAGCAGCCGCGGUAAUACGAAGGGGGCUAGCGUUGUUCGGAAUUACUGGGCGUAAAGCGCGCGUAGGCGGACUGAUCAGUCAGGGGUGAAAUCCCGGGGCUCAACCCCGGAACUGCCUUUGAUACUGUCAGUCUAGAGUCCGGAAGAGGUGAAUGGAACUCC
rnacentral:rRNA from 14 species